AGGGAUUGGGUAGGGUGCGGGCUCUCUAUCCAGCUCCAUAUUUCCCAGGCGAGCAAUCAUCGUUGUCCUCCAUUGUUUUCCCCGCUAGAAAACCCUUGGAGAGGAGGGGGAAGGGGUUGGGGUUUAUGCGUUCAUUCACAUUAAUUAGGCUAUGUUAGCUCGAUUUAUUGACAGUCCAACAACAGGUUGGUGGGAAGAUGGCGAGGCUGGAAUUUCCGGUGUUUUCUUUUUGAUCAAUCAAUCAAUUAUGGGUGUGGGCUUCGGGGACUCAAGAUUUUCGCUUCCUGCGAGGCCAGAUUCAAUAAUGAAAAUUGAUUGAAUUCCCUCGGGACACUGUCACUGAUAGAUAGCCUAGUGCGACCCGUGGCUGCAUCGGUGUAGUGUAUGUGUGGAUGUAUGUAUUGUACGUAGCUGCCCGCCUGGCAUCUGCAGCAGAGUUGUGCGUAACCGCCAAGGCAUAUUUUUGUUUUCCGACUCUCACUUCGCG
rnacentral:sRNA from 2 species